CAGAAGGUGAAAUCAUUGAAUAGGAAAUUAUCAUGUGUUGGAAGAAGGAAUGUGUUGCUCCUUGUUAUAUAAGACCAUAAACUAUUCUGGCAGCCUAUAUAUUGUUUUAUAGUUCUGAACUACUAAGAGAAUCUCACACAUAAUACAAUUUUUGACUGUCUACUAAAGGUAAUUUAAAUCUCAACAGAAUUUUAGCUUUUGUUAUGUAAUAUAUAGUCAAGUUCCAUGUUGUAAACAAGCAUAAUCUAUUCUAAAUUUCGCAAAACAUUCUGAAAUCUAUCUCUUAGGUAGCAACAAUGUUUGCCCUCAAAGUACAACUCAAGUAUUCCUUUUAGGAUUUUGUCUCCUAAAGUUCAUUCUCGUGUUUUUCAUGUCUUCUUCCAUUUUCUUCUCUAUCUCAUCUGGUCUUUUCUUGCCUUCCAUUUUCCUUUCUUUUCCUUCUUCUUCCAUGUCCCUCUCCU